rnacentral:lncRNA from 1 species
UUUUCAGAACAGAUUUUCAAAAUCUGUUGUACAAAUGCAUCGGGCACAACCCAUGGUCAGAGUCGGCUUCUCCGGCGUGAAACAUACGCCGGCCGAUAUGUCCUUUUGAUCGGCAUUUUGCAGCAGUCACAAUGGAGUUUUCGGAGCGGAAAAUGGUCGAGAAAAUGGCACUGGCCGUCAUUCUCCUCGAAGUUGAUGCUAUUCCUGAACAAAGAUAUGCAACUGUUGCUUUUGGUUCAAUUCAAUUCACCAUUCCUCACAGCA